rnacentral:rRNA from 1 species
GACGAACGCUGGCGGCGCGCCUAAUACAUGCAAGUCGAGCGAGAAGACGUAGCAAUACGUUUGUAAAGCGGCGAACGGGUGAGGAAUACAUGGGUAACCUACCCUCGAGUGGGGAAUAACUAGCCGAAAGGUUAGCUAAUACCGCGUACGCUCCUCGGACUUCGGUUCAGGGAGGAAAGCGAUACCGUGGGUAUCGCGCUCUUGGAUGGGCUCAUGUCCUAUCAGCUUGUUGGUGAGGUAACGGCUCACCAAGGCUUCGACGGGUAGCUGGUCUGAGAGGACGAUCAGCCACACUGGCACUGCGACACGGGCCAGACUCCUACGGAGGCAGCAGUAAGGAAUAUUGCGCAAUGGGCGAAAGCCUGACGCAGCGACGCCGCGUGGGGGAUGAAGGUCUUCGGAUUGUAAACCCCUUUCGGGAGGGAAGAUGGAACGAGCAAUCGUUCGGACGGUACCUCCAGAAGCAGCCACGGCUAACUUCGUGCCAGCAGCCGCUGUAA